rnacentral:rRNA from 1 species
GACGAACGCUGGCGGCGUGCUUAACNCAGGCAAGUCGAGCGGAAAGACCCCUUCGGGGGCACUCGAGCGGCGAACGGGUGAGUAACACGUGGGUAAUCAACCCCUGACAUCGGGAUACCCCGGGGAAACCCGGAUCAAUACCGGAUAAGGUGCGGAGUCGCAGGACGCCGUACCAAAGGUAGCUUCGGCUUCCGGUCAGGGACGAGCCCGCGGCCCAUUAGCUUGUUGGUGAGGUAAUGGCUCACCAAGGCUACGAUGGGUAGCUGGUCUGAGAGGACGAUCAGCCACACUGGGACUGAGACACGGCCCAGACUCCUACGGGAGGCAGCAGUGGGGAAUCUUGCGCAAUGGGCGGAAGCCUGACGCAGCAACGCCGCGUGCGGGACGAAGGCCUUAGGGUCGUAAACCGCUUUCAGGGGGGACGAAGCUUCCGAGGUUAAUAGCCUACGGGGUGACGGUACUCCCAGAAGAAGGUCCGGCUAACUACGUGCCAGCAGCCGCGGUAAUACGUAGGGACCGAGCGUUGUCCGGAAUCAUUGGGCGUAAAGAGCGUGUAGGCGGCCUGGUAGGUCUCGUGUGAAAUCCCGCGGCUCA